GACGAACGCUGGCGGCGUGCUUAACACAUGCAAGUCGAACGGAAAGGCCCUGCUUUUGUGGGGUUCUCGAGUGGCGAACGGGUGAGUAACACGUGAGUAACCUGCCCUUGACUUUGGGAUAACUUCAGGAAACUGGGGUUAAUACCGGAUAGGAGCUCCUGCUGCAUGGUGGGGGUUGGAAAGUUUCGGCGGUUGGGGAUGGACUCGCGGCUGAUCAGCUUGUUGGUGGGGUAGUGGCUUACCAAGGCUUUGACGGGUAGCCGGCCUGAGAGGGUGACCGGCCACAUUGGGACGGGGAUACGGCCCAGACUCCUACGGGAGGCAGCAGUGGGGAAUAUUGCACAAUGGGCGGAAGCCUGAUGCAGCAACGCCGCGUGCGGGAUGACGGCCUUCGGGUUGUAAACCGCUUUCGCCUGUGACGAAGCGUGAGUGACGGUAAUGGGUAAAGAAGCAACGGCUAACUACGUG
rnacentral:rRNA from 1 species